UACGAAGGGGGCUAGCGUUGUUCGGAAUCACUGGGCGUAAAGGGUGCGUAGGCGGUCUUAUAAGUCAGUGCUGAAAUAUCCCGGCUUAACCGGGAGGGUGGCAUUGAUACUGUAGGACUUGAGUAAAGUUGAGGUUGGCGGAAUUGACGGUGUAGCGGUGAAAUGCUUAGAUAUCGUCAAGAACACCGAUAGUGUAGACAGCUAACUAAGCUUUAACUGACGCUGAGGCACGAAAGUGUGGGGAUCAAACAGG
rnacentral:rRNA from 1 species